rnacentral:rRNA from 1 species
GCAGGGUCGAAAGACGGACUUAGUGAUCCGGUGGUUCCGCAUGGAAGGGCCAUCGCUCAACGGAUAAAAGCUACCCCGGGGAUAACAGGCUUAUCUCCCCCAAGAGUUCACAUCGACGGGGAGGUUUGGCACCUCGAUGUCGGCUCAUCGCAUCCUGGGGCUGUAGUCGGUCCCAAGGGUUGGGCUGUUCGCCCAUUAAAGCGGUACGCGAGCUGGGUUCAGAACGUCGUGAGACAGUUCGGUCCCUAUCCGUCGUGGGCGUAGGAAAUUUGAGAGGAGCUGUCCUUAGUACGAGAGGACCGGGAUGGACAUACCUCUGGUGUACCAGUUGUCGUGCCAACGGCAUAGCUGGGUAGCUAUGUGUGGACGGGAUAAGUGCUGAAAGCAUCUAAGCAUGAAGCCCCCCUCAAGAUGAGAUUUCCCAACUUCGGUUAUAAGAUCCCUCAAAGAUGAUGAGGUUAAUAGGUUCGAGGUGGAAGCAUGGUGACAUGUGGAGCUGACGAAUACUAAUCGAUCGAAGACUUAAUCAA